rnacentral:miRNA from 1 species
UGAGGCAGGAGAAUUGCUUGAACCCAGGAAGCGGAGGUUGCAGUGAGCUGAGAUCGCGCCACUACACUCCAGCCUGGGUGACAGAGCGAGACUCCGUCUC